UACGUAGGGCGCAAGCGUUGUCCGGAAUUAUUGGGCGUAAAGAGCUCGUAGGCGGCUUGUCACGUCGGGUGUGAAAGCCCGAGGCUUAACCUCGGGUCUGCAUUCGAUACGGGCUAGCUAGAGUGUGGUAGGGGAGAUCGGAAUUCCUGGUGUAGCGGUGAAAUGCGUAGAUAUCGGAAGGAACACCAGUGGCGAAAGCGGCUUCCUGGUCCAGCACCGACGUUCAGGCACGAAAGCGUGGGGAGCAAACAGG
rnacentral:rRNA from 1 species